AGGGGCAGCAGCGGUACUCGAUGAGUCGGACGCCUCAUGAUGUUGCUGAUGCACUUGCUGAUGGGCGCGCUCGUGGUGAGCGCGGUGGCGGGCGCGGUGACGGGCGCGGGUAGAGACGAGAGCAGCGCCGUGUACUGGCACGCCGAGGCGCAGGCCGGCAUCGCCGCGCGGCUGGCGCGCCGCCCCGCCGAACGAGCGCGUAACGUCAUCAUGUUCCUGGGCGACGGCAUGUCCGUGCCGACGCUCGCGGCCGCGCGCACGCUGCUCGGACAGCGCCAAGGUGCCACUGGCGAAGAGGCCAAGUUAACUUUUGAAACUUUCCCUACUGCUGGUUUAGUCAAGACAUAUUGUGUGAAUGCACAAGUGGCGGACUCGGCAUGUACAGCAACCGCGUACCUGUGCGGCUCCAAGGCCAACCAGGGCACGCUGGGCUUGAGCGCUGCGGUGCCGCGCUGGGACUGCGACGCCUCCACUGACACCUCGCAACACGUCGAAUCCAUCGCUGAGUGGGCGCUUGCAGACGGUCGAGAUGCGGGUAUCGUGACAACGACGCGCAUCACGCACGCGUCGCCGGCCGGCACGUUCGCCAAGGCGGCCAACCGGCACUGGGAGAACGACGCCGAGGUGCGCCAGGCGGGCCACGACCCGCAGCGCUGCCCCGACAUCGCGCACCAGCUCGUGCACAACUACCCCGGCAACCAGUUCAAGGUCAUUUUAGGUGGAGGAAGGCGCGAAUUCAUUCCCACUUCAUCCAUAGACGAAGAGGGACGAUCCGGUAGGAGGACAGAUGGCCGCAAUUUAAUCGAAGAAUGGCAACGCGAUAAGGUUUCACGAAACGUCAGUCACCGAUAUAUCUGGAACCGCGAUCAGUUGAUGGACUCAUACUCAUCACCACCUCAAUAUUUGCUGGGAUUGUUCGAGAAUAAUCACCUGCAGUACCAUUUGCAAGCUAACUCUUCAACUGAACCCACUCUCGCUGAACUGACAGAGGUGGCGAUUCGAUCAUUAAGACGCAAUGAGAAGGGAUUCUUCCUGUUCGUGGAGGGGGGGCGCAUCGACCACGCGCACCACGACAACCUGGUGGAGCUCGCACUCGACGAGACGCUGGAGAUGGACAAGGCCGUGGCCACCGCCACGAAGAUGCUCUCAGAGGACGACUCGCUCAUCGUGGUCACUGCCGACCACGCACACGUCAUGACCAUCAAUGGCUACUCCGGCCGCGGUAACGACAUCCUCGGACCCUCCAGGGAGGUGGGACGUGACGGAGUACCCUACAUGACACUAUCCUACGCCAAUGGACCCGGAUUCCGUCCGCACGUGAAUGGAACAAGACAAAAUGUUACAGCUGAACCAAACUACCGUGAGUUUAUUAUAAUUAAUUAUAAACUUGAAGAAUUUAUAUUUCUAAACUGCUCUAAUCUCAGGACCGACCGGUCCAACUUGGUAUUGACGUGAUUUUUUAUGCGAUGUCAAAAGAAAAGAGGUGAUGUAGAAUGACGUAGGCUAUUUUCUGUCACUUUCUAGCCCCCACUUCCUUAAAAUAGAAGGUGGAAGUUUGUAUGGAGCAUUCCGCAAUUUUCAAGACAGAAAGCUAAAAAGCUUGGCAAUCUGGACUGGAAGACGCACGUGGACGUGCCGCUGGUGGACGAGACGCACGGCGGCGACGACGUGGCCGUGUUCGCGCGCGGGCCGCACCACUCCAUGUUCACGGGGCUGUACGAGCAGAGCCAGCUGCCGCACCUCAUGGCCUACGCCGCCUGCAUCGGCCCCGGCCGGCACGCCUGCGCCAGCGUCAGUGCAGCGCAACUCACCACUU
rnacentral:misc_RNA from 1 species